UCCCUGGUAGUCCAGUGGUUAUGACUCAGUGCUUUCAUUGCUGAGAUCCAGGUUCCAACCCUGGUGGGGAA
rnacentral:tRNA from 1 species